rnacentral:rRNA from 1 species
AGCGAACGCUGGCGGCAGGCCUAACACAUGCAAGUCGAACGAUCCCUUCGGGGAUAGUGGCAGACGGGUGAGUAACGCGUGGGAACGUGCCCUUUGGUUCGGAACAACACAGGGAAGCUUGUGCUAAUACCGAAUGUGCCCUUCGGGGGAAAGAUUUAUCGCCAUUGGAGCGGCCCGCGUUGGAUUAGGUAGUUGGUGAGGUAAAGGCUCACCAAGCCUACGAUCCAUAGCUGGUCUGAGAGGAUGAUCAGCCACACUGGGACUGAGACACGGCCCAGACUCCUACGGGAGGCAGCAGUGGGGAAUCUUGCGCAAUGGGCGAAAGCCUGACGCAGCCAUGCCGCGUGAAUGAUGAAGGUCUUAGGAUUGUAAAAUUCUUUCAGCAGGGACGAUAAUGACGGUACCUGCAGAAGAAGCCCCGGCUAACUUCGUGCCAGCAGCCGCAGUAA